rnacentral:rRNA from 1 species
GACGAACGCUGGCGGCGUGCUUAACACAUGCAAGUCGAACGAUGAACUUGGAGCUUGCUCUGGGGGAGUAGUGGCGAACGGGUGAGUAACACGUGAGUAACCUGCCCUGGACUCUGGGAUAACUUCGAGAAAUCGGAGCUAAUACCGGCUCAGACCUUGCACCGCAUGGUGUGGGGCGGAAAGUUUUUCGGUUUGGGAUGGACUCGCGGCCUAUCAGCUUGUUGGUGAGGUAAUGGCUCACCAAGGCGGCGACGGGUAGCCGGCCUGAGAGGGUGACCGGCCACACUGGGACUGAGACACGGCCCAGACUCCUACGGGAGGCAGCAGUGGGGAAUAUUGCACAAUGGGCGCAAGCCUGAUGCAGCAACGCCGCGUGCGGGAUGACGGCCUUCGGGUUGUAAACCGCUUUUAGUAGGGAAGAAGCCUUCGGGUGACGGUACCUGCAGAAAAAGGACCGGCUAACUACGUGCCAGCCGCCGCCGUAACAC